AAAAAAUCUUAAAUACUUUUAGGGUUGGUAAUUAUUUUUAGGUGGAGUUAAUGCCAGGUACUUGAAUUAAUGGAUUGGUUAGUUGAUCCAUUCAUUUUUCAUUAAUUUACAAUUACAUGCUUCUUGCUGUUUGGAAUGAUAUCCAGAAGAAAACAACAAAAUAGUCACUAAAUGGAUGGUCUAUAUAAUCAGAUUAGUUACCUUCUAGUUAAUGGAGAGAAGGAGAAACAUAAGAUAAUUUCUAGUGUGAGAAUUCAUAUAAGAGAGCAAGAGGAAAGAUUGCACAAAAAGCCAUGCAGGUGUUAGAAUGCCAGAGAGCCCUGUGGAUCCUUACACAGUUGGAAUCUUGAGAAGACUGAGCGCUGCUGGUUGUGCCCCUUCCUGUCUGGAUAUUUCCAAAAAAUGUACAGACAAGUUGCUUCAGUAGCAUGCACCUCACUGAGGACAGGUUAGGGUUAAAGUUUACAACCAAAGAGUGAAAACUACAGUUCCCAAGAUAGUUUUACCAUAACAGUUCUAUAACCGUAAAAGGAAAUGUUUUCCCCUCAUAAUCAAAAAGAACUUUGAUUCAUUCCACACUCUAUUAUUUUAUCUUUAGUGAACAGACAUUUUAAAUUGCAUCCUGCAAGCUUCUGAAAGCUUUUCAGAAAUCCAUCAUUCGUUUUCGCUCCGCAGCGUGACUGGAUCCUCCCUCGAUGUUCUCUCUGCUACACACCCAGGAGGCCCUCACAGGCGAUCAUAUGAUGACUUAUUUAAAAGAAUUUUGGAGAGUUCUCUACAAACCUAGCAUCAUAUUAUUGACUACAUGGAUGGAUUUGGGGGACAGAGACCUUUCGAUGACCUUCAGAUCACACUGUCUAUGUGCUGCCUACACCAUCCACAUUUAGAGCUAUACCAAUGUAUGUAUGCCAAAAAUAGAUUUUUAAUAACACAAGUGACUGCCAUGAUCCCAGAGGAACUGUUAUUAAAAAUAUUACUUUGAUUAAAAAUGUCAGUUUUGAGAAGCUUUUAAUAUCUUCUACCAGUGCUAAAAUGACAUCAAUGACAUUUCAAUAUUACUUUCAAAAGUUGGUUUUCAUUUGUAUCCAUUUUUAACUAAGUUUUGGAUCUUGUGAAUUUGUAAAAGACAGUAAUCCUUUAGUUCACAAAGAAAUGUGUUUGAAGACCUAAGCAGCAUUUAUCCUGAACAGAUAUAAACAUUGUCUCAAUAGUUGAAUGCUCAGAUAUUUUUUCAUGUAAGUCAUAAUAACAUAACUAUUUCCAUGGGUAAUGAACAUUAUUUUUUUUACUUACUUUUUUUGACAGGCAGAGUUAGACAGUGAGAGAGAGAGACAGAGAGAAAGGUCUUUCUUUUUCUGUUGGUUCACCCCCCAAGUGGCCACUACGGCUGGCACAUUGCAGCCAGUGCUCUGCGCCGAUCCGAAGCCAGGAGCCAGGUGCUUCCUCCUGAUCUCCCAUGCGGGUACAGGGCCAAGGACCUGGGCCAUCCUCCACUGCACUCCCAGGCCACAGCAGAGAGCUGGACUGGAAGAGGAGCAACCGGGACAGAAUCCGGCGCCCCAACCGGGACUAGAACCCAGGGUGCUGGCGCUGGGAUUAGCCUAGUGAGCCACGGCACCAGCCAAGAACAUUAUUAAGUAUUGAAACUUUACCCUCCAAAAGUUAAAUGUACAUUUAUUUUCCAGUAUUCCAACAGAAGAUCAUGGGUCUUAAUUUUAGCUUCUAUACUGAAACUGGGAUUUUUAUCUCCAGUUCAGAAAAUUAGCAGACUUGCUAUAAAACCAAAAAUGCA
ensembl:lncRNA